rnacentral:rRNA from 1 species
GACGAACGCUGGCGGCGUGCUUAACACAUGCAAGUCGAACGGUGAAGCCUUCGGGUGGAUCAGUGGCGAACGGGUGAGUAACACGUGAGCAAUCUGCCCUUGACUCUGGGAUAACUUCGGGAAACCGGAGCUAAUACCGGAUAUGACAUCUGGCCGCAUGGUCUGGGUGUGGAAAGAUUUAUCGGUCAGGGAUGAGCUCGCGGCCUAUCAGCUUGUUGGUGGGGAAUGGCCCACCAAGGCGACGACGGGUAGCCGGCCUGAGAGGGCGACCGGCCACACUGGGACUGAGACACGGCCCAGACUCCUACGGGAGGCAGCAGUGGGGAAUAUUGCGCAAUGGGCGAAAGCCUGACGCAGCGACGCCGCGUGAGGGAUGAAGGCCUC